GUUUCCCUCUUGGGCGGUGGCAGAGCUGCUAACCGUGGUAAUCGCAGCUCCAGUGGCAGCAAUUAUGACUAUGAGGAAUGGCGGCGGCUGCAGCUGGCCCUGCAACAGCCCAAAGGUUUUUCCAGAGCUUGUCAGAUGCUCUGAUUGACAAGGACCCCCAGACGGCGUUAGAGGAGCUGACUAAAGCUUUGGAACAGAAACCAGAUGAUGCACAGUAUUACUGUCAAAGAGCUUAUUGUCACAUUCUUCUUGGGAAUUACUGUGAUGAUGUUGCUGAUGCAAAGAAGUCUCUAGAACUCAAUCCAAAUAAUUCUACUGCUAUGCUAAGAAAAGGGAUUUCUGAAUACCAUGAAAAAAACUAUGCUGCUGCUCUAGAAACUUUUACAGAAGGACAAAAAUUCGACAGCACAGAUGCUGAUUUCACUGUCUGGAUUAAAAGGUGUCAAGAAGCUCAGAAUGGAUCAGAAUCUGGGGUGUCUACAUCCUGGCAGACUCAUCAGUCAAAAAUCAAGUAUGACUGGUAUCAAACAGAAUCUCAAGUAAUCGGGUGGCUAAUCAUUACACUUAUGAUCAAGAAUGUUCAGAAGAAUGAUGUCAAUGUGGAAUUUUCAGAAAAAGAGUUAUCUGCGUUGGUGAAACUCCCAUCUGGAGAAGAUUACAAUCUGAAACUGAGACUACUUUAUCCUAUACCAGAACAAAGUACAUUUAAAGUACUUUCAACAAAGAUUGAAAUUAAAAUGAGAAAGCCAGAGGCUGUGAGAUGGGAAACACUAGAGGGGCAAGGAGAUGUGUGUAAGCCAAGACAAUUCAUAGCAGAUGUAAACAAUCUAUAUCCAUCAUCAUCUCAUUAUAUAAGAAACUGGGAUAAAUUGGUUGGUGAGAUUAAAGAAGAAGAAAAGAAUGAGAAGUUGGAGGGAGAGGCAGCUUUAAACAAAUUAUUUCAGCAGAUCUAUUCAGAUGGUUCUGAUGGAGUUAAAUGUGCUAUGAACAAACCAUUCACGCAGUCUGGUGGGACGGUUUUGAGAACCAACUGGUCUGAUGUAGGUAUAAGAAAAGUUGACAUCAACCCUCCUGAUGAUAUGUAAUGGGAAAAAUACUACAUAAAUUAA